rnacentral:misc_RNA from 1 species
GAUGAAGAACGUAGCGAAAUGCGAUAAGUAAUGUGAAUUGCAGAAUUCAGUGAAUCAUCGAAUCUUUGAACGCACAUUGCGCCCGCCAGUAUUCUGGCGGGCAUGCCCGUUCGAGCGUCAUUACAACCCUCAGGCCCCCGGGCCUGGCGUUGGGGAUCGGCGGAAGCCCCCUGUGGGCACACGCCGUCCCUCAAAUACAGUGGCGGUCCCGCCGCAGCUUCCAUUGCGUAGUAGCUAACACCUCGCAACUGGAGAGCGGCGCGGCCAUGCCGUAAAACACCCAACUUCUGAAUGUUGACCUCGAAUCAGGUAGGAAUACCCGCUGAACUUAAGCAUAUCAAUAAGCGGAGGA